AGUAUAAUUGCUGGAUCAUAGGGUAAGAGUAUGUUUAGUUUUAUAAGAAAUUGCCAAACUGUUUUCCAGAAUGACGGUACCAUUUUGCAUUUCUGCCAGCAAU
rnacentral:pre_miRNA from 1 species